AUCAAUGGCCUGUGCUAUCAUGGAGGGGUAAUUGUUUCUGGUCCUUUCAAUGAGUUCUUUUAGUUUAUUUAUUUCACUAGUUAACGCCUCAAGCUUCUUUUCAAAUCCUUCUGUAAAUAGUUCAUCUUGCAUCUUCAGCAUGUGCUCCA